rnacentral:rRNA from 1 species
AUAUCAAUAAGCGGAGGAAAAGAAACCAACAGGGAUUGCCCCAGUAACGGCGAGUGAAGCGGCAACAGCUCAAAUUUGAAAUCUGGCCCCCAGGGUCCGAGUUGUAAUUUGCAGAGGAUGCUUUUGGCAAGGUGCCUUCCGAGUUCCCUGGAACGGGACGCCAUAGAGGGUGAGAGCCCCGUCUGGUUGGAUACCGAGCCUCUGUAAAGCUCCUUCGACGAGUCGAGUAGUUUGGGAAUGCUGCUCUAAAUGGGAGGUAUAUGUCUUCUAAAGCUAAAUAUUGGCCAGAGACCGAUAGCGCACAAGUAGAGUGAUCGAAAGAUGAAAAGCACUUUGAAAAGAGGGUUAAAUAGUACGUGAAAUUGUUGAAAGGGAAGCGCUCAUGACCAGACUUGGGCCCGGUGAAUCAUCCAGCGCUCGUCGCUGGUGCACUUUGCCGGGCUCAGGCCAGCAUCAGUUCGCUCCGGGGGACAAAGGCUCUGGGAAUGUGGCUCCUCCGGGAGUGUUAUAGCCCACUGCGCAAUACCCUGGGGCGGACUGAGGUUCGCGCAUUCGUGCAAGGAUGCUGGCGUAAUGGUCAUCAGUGA